UUUUGUCUUCUUUGAAAGGGAGAAAGUGGGAGAAAGAGAGAUGGGAACUCCGGUGUCCCCUCCGACGACCCGUGACGGCCUAAUCCAGCGCGUACACAACCCGCGACUAUAUAAGGGAGAUUGGUGAACCUAACGGUGGUGUUCGUACGGUCAGAUGAGUGACGUCAGUGGUUUUAAUGGAGUAAAUAGUAGCGGAGGCUAGGGUUUCUUAUUCUGUAUAUUUACAUGACGGUUGAUUAACUAGGGUUACGCCAUAAUAUUGUAGAAAUGGUGGUGGUUUGCUCACACCCGGUGUAUGAAGAUGAUCUAUGGCAGGAAAUUUUAUCCAUUUUAUAAACAACUAUGUGCCUAAAACCCAAGAUCCCUGCUCUGUGGUUUUUUGUGGGUGGCCGGAAAGUUGAAGGUGGCCGGAUUUCUUCUUACAAGCUGGCAUGAACACGGGGUGGUACCACCAGCCCAUCAGUUGUACCGCAGCAGUUUAGGAAGAGAGAGGAACACGUUGCAAAAAAUUGAACGUGGCAAAAAACUAAAUUAUGAAGACCCCAUACUUAUCCUUUCCUUGCCAAGUGGAAUAUGAAGGAGAAAGAAAGGGAGUAUGUUGAGGAUAUUGAUGUAAAAGUAUUUUUUUUAUAUUGUACAUAAAUAUGUUUUAAAUAUUAACUAUUUGAAUUAUAUUGGAUAAGUUGAUGCAAAAGUAUUUUUAUGUACACUUGGUACUUGAAACUCAAGUGCAUCAAGAGAUGGUCAUUCUGGAAUGCGUUUGUAAUUGCUUGAUGCUCAUCCAUUCUCCCAAUAUGUUAUAUAAUUAGGUAGUUGAUAUCACAAGCAACAAAAUUUCAGGUAAAGCCAACUAUUUUUAUUUCAAGCAUUUGUGUAUAUGCUUUGCUUUUGUCAUAAUUUAUAUGAUUUAUAUAUUAAAAUGUGUUUUCUUUUUCACUACGUGCUUGGUUAUAAGUAACUAGUAGGGUGCUCGCGCGAUGCGGCGGGGCGACACUUUGGAUUGCGAUAUUCGUUUCUGGUAGUUUUCUUAUUCGUAUAAUAUUUAUAAUAAUAUUAUUGUGGUGGAUAUAUGCCAUUAGUGUUACAUAUAUGUAAAGUUUUGUUUUUUUUUUAUAAAAAUUAAUAAUCAAAAGACAAAAAAAAAAAAAUUAAGUUCUUAUAACUGUAAAGUAUGUUUAUUUUAUUGGUUAAAUUAUAAAGUAUAAUUUUAUUUUUUAAAGUUCAUAACUUUUUUUAAAUAUCCACAUAGUACUCAUCCAAUAAACUUUAAGUUUAAAAUUUUCGUUU
rnacentral:lncRNA from 1 species